UACGAAGGGGGCUAGCGUUGUUCGGAAUUACUGGGCGUAAAGGGCGCGUAGGCGGCUUGAUAAGUUGGAUGUGAAAGCCCAGGGCUCAACCCUGGAACAGCAUUCAAGACUAUCUUGCUUGAAUUCGGUAGAGGUUGGUGGAAUUCCCAGUGUAGAGGUGAAAUUCGUAGAGAUUGGGAAGAAUAUCCGUGGCGAAGGCGGCCAACUGGACCGACAUUGACGCUGAGGCGCGAAAGCGUGGGGAGCAAACAGG
rnacentral:rRNA from 1 species